rnacentral:rRNA from 1 species
UACGUAGGGGGCAAGCGUUGUUCGGAAUUACUGGGCGUAAAGGGCGCGUAGGCGGCACGGCAAGUCAGGAGUGAAAGGCCUGGGCUCAACCGAGGAACUGCUUUUGAGACUGCCGAGCUAGAGUGCAGAAGGGGCAACCGGAAUUCCCAGUGUAGCGGUGAAAUGCGUAGAUAUUGGGAAGAACACCUGAGGCGAAGGCGGGUUGCUGGGCUGACACUGACGCUGAGGCGCGAAAGCCAGGGGAGCAAACGGG